CUUCUGCUCCCUCCGUUCCGAAUUAUUUGUCGCAAGUAUGGAUGUAUCUAAAUGUAUUUUAGUUUUAGAUACAUCCAUUUUUGUGACGAGUAAUUUGAAACGGAGAGAGUAUUAU
rnacentral:pre_miRNA from 1 species